UUCCUCUCAGGGUCAAACCUGGAGAGUUCCCAGUAUUCUACCAGUCUCGACUAUAGGAGGGAGAGUCAGGCAGAGGCAUUUCUAUUCCUAGCUCGGGCAGUGGCUAGCGAGUGGAAGGCAAUCUGCUGCAAGU